rnacentral:tRNA from 1 species
GCCGAAGUGGCGGAAUUGGUAGACGCGCUAGAUUCAGGGUCUAGUGGGGAGUAGUCCCCGUGGGGGUUCAAGUCCCUUCUUCGGCACCA